ACACUACUAUAUCAACAGGAUGGCUGUGAGGCCCAGAAAGUUUGCAGGGACUGUGUUGUCACAUGAUGACGUCAUUAAGAGCCCAACCCACUUACCCAGAACUGGGAGACACUCCUUCUCACCCUGGCUGUGCCAUGGCUGUCAGGCUCCUCUGGUAUGUGGCCCUUUACCUUCUGAGGGCAGGCCUCAUGGAUGCUGAUGUCUUCCAGACCCCAAAACACUGUGUUACAGGGACAGGAAAGAAGAUUACUCUGGAAUGUUUUCAAAGCAUGAACCAUGACAAUAUGUACUGGUACCGACAAGACGCGGGAAGGGAACUACAGCUGCUCCAUUAUUCAUAUGGUGUUAAUAACACAGAGAAAGGAGAUGUCCCCUCUGAGUCGACUGUCUCCAGACUAAGGAAGGAUCGUUUUUCUCUAACGCUAGAGUCUGCCAGCCCCUCACAGACGUCUCUAUACCUCUGUGCCAGCAGUUAAUACACAGUGCUACACAGGCAUCUACAGCCUGCACAAAAAGGGUAGUCACAAAGAUGAGGCAGUCUCACCUUCACAAACCUCAUCCUAAGCUACAGAAGCCACUGUGAAUCUCCCCAGACUUCUCAGCCCUGAGGGGUCAGUGUGGUCUAAGCAAAAUUAUGGGCAGAAAACUGUCCCUGGGUCAGUCCCCAUCAAACCAGGGAAUGGCCCAGCCCACAGUCAGCGCUGACUUCUGCCCUGCAUCUAACUGCAAUGUCCAAUUGAGGCUUGCACAAGUUGUAGCCUUCAAGAUAGGUGGGAUAUUAUUUGACAGUUGCCUUACGACAACCUGCAGGAGAGACUGCCAGCUGAGAAAUAGCAUGAGUUUCCUGUGGCUCUCUCCAUAGGCUGUCUCUAUCUCUGGUUAAUGAUCCCUUCCUCACAUAAAACUAGUUACUUCGCACACAGCGUCUCAAA